CCUACGGGAGGCUGCAGUGAGGAAUAUUGGUCAAUGGCCGAGAGGCUGAACCAGCCAAGUCGCGUGAGGGAAGAAUGUCCUAUGGAUUGUAAACCUCUUUUGUCAGGGAGCAAAGUCACCCACGUGUGGGUGUUGGAGAGUAUCUGAAGAAAAAGCAUCGGCUAACUCCGUGCCAGCAGCCGCGGUAAUACGGAGGAUGCGAGCGUUAUCCGGAUUUAUUGGGUUUAAAGGGUGAGUAGGCGGGUUAACAAGUCAGCGGUAAAAUCGUGGAGCUAAACUCCAACCAGCCGUUGAAACUGAUGGUCUUGAGUGGGCGAGAAGUAGGCGGAAUGCGUGGUGUAGCGGUGAAAUGCAUAGAUAUCACGCAGAACUCCGAUUGCGAAGGCAGCAGACCGGCGCCCGACUGACGCUGAAGCACGAAGGCGUGGGUAGCGAACAGGAUUAGAUACCCCAGUAGUC
rnacentral:rRNA from 1 species